rnacentral:rRNA from 1 species
CCCUUAGAUGUUCUGGGCCGCACGCGCGCUACACUGUUCGACGCAGCGAGUCUUAACCUUGACCGAAAGGUUUGGGUAUUCUUCAGCAAAGUCGAACGUGAUGGGGAUCGAUCAUUGCAAUUAUUGAUCGUGAACGAGGAAUUCCUAGUAAGUGCAAGUCAUCAGCUUGCGCUGAUUACGUCCCUGCCCUUUGUACACACCGCCCGUCGCUACUACCGAUUGAAUGGUUUAGUGAGAUCUCUGGAUUGACGCUGGCUAGGGGGCGACCCUUGGCCAGGCUGUCGAGAAACUGCUCAAACUUGAUCAUUUAGAGGAAGUAAAAGUCGUAACA